UGCUCUCGCAGGAGGUGGGAGGGGAGGAAUGGCCAGUGCUAUUUAUUAGUUUCAAGCUCUCCUUCAGGGAGACAAAAUAUUGUACCAUCGAGAAGGAGUGUUUUGCGAUUAAGUGAGCUGUUCUGACCCUCCACUACUACCUGCUGGGGUGGGCAUUCACCCUCUGUUCCGAUCACGCUCCACUGCAGUGGCUCCACCGCAUUAAGGAUACUAACGCGCAGAUCACCCGUUGGUUUCUGGCUCUUCAGCCCUUUAAAUUCAAGGUGGAUGUUGCCCUGGCCUGAGUCAGCGGGUGAGCGAGAGUGGAAAUUAUGCACAGAAGGAGCAGUAUGGUUGUUGGCAUUGUCAUGCUGGGAGGUCAUAUCAGGAUGAGCCUGCAGGAAGGGUACCACAUGAUGGAGGAGGAUGUCUUCCCUGUAACUCACAGCGUUGAGAUUGCCUACAAUGACAACAAGCUCAGUCUGAUGAUGCUGUGACACACCAGUCCUGUCUGGUCCAGUGAAGAUGAUUCAGGGAGGAGAGAGGAUGUUGAGGAUAGUACUAGAGUGGAAGAUUUAGGAACUGUAGAAACAGGCCCAGCCAGAGCAAAACUCAAAGAAUACCCUCUCACCAGCUUUGGACUACAGGGAAGUGGUUGCUAGUGUGAAAAUAAAAUUGUCUGGGCUAAGCCCCGGAUGUCCUUCAAUGCUGGAAACGCCUCUGCAUCUGAUGAUAAAUUACAAUUUAAAAGUGGAUUGUUUUGUGCAUAUUUUUCCAUCGCUAGCAGAUGAGUGAGGUCUGACACAACAAAAAUCCAGUUUAA